rnacentral:lncRNA from 1 species
GGGAUAUAGUUUUGAAAAAAAAAAAAGUUUUUGAAGGAGGGAUUAGAGAGAGAGGAGCUUCAUGCUUCGGGUCGGAGAAGGAAAGACAGAGAAUUUGGAUUUUUCUUCUUCGUAGAGUUUUGGGAAGGCUGAGGCAAUCGCUGCUGAAGUCAGUAUUGUAAUGAUAAAUCGGGAUUUUUAAUGAAGUGGGUUUGAAUACUCUUGACUGUUUUGUGAAAUCGAGUUACGUCUAUGAUUGAAGGAUUAAAAAGACGUCUAUAGGAUUGAGUAUGCGGAGUGAAUGAAAUUUAUUGGGUUAAUCUAACAAGACAGUCAGUGGAUACAAGAUCGUAAGUACAAAGCGGUAUUGAAGAUUAACAGUUUGGGUUGUUCAGGGUUCUCUGUAACGUCUAGAGACCUACCGGCUGGGACAAAAAGGACUUCGACAAGUAGUCGAAGAGCAUCCAUAUAGAUUUACGGUACAUUGUUGGAGUCGUUUAUAUUCCAGGAGUCAAAACUGAUAGAUUGCUUGACUAUCGACGAAUCUCCAUACUACCUUCUACAGCCAGAUGCCCGGCACGUUCUCGAGCAAGAAAGCACGUAAUACGACAAAAGUGGUGAACCUGACAUGAAAGCUUGAUGUAGAAGGUAUUGGAUUUCGGUUGAUUUUAUCUUUAUUUUAUGGAAAACGAAAAUAAAAAUUUGGAAGGAUUUUUGGGAGGAGUUUCUGGUGGGGAGUCUUCUAAAGUACAAGGUAUGCACAUGGAUCCAUCUAUUGCUAGUUUGUUUCAAGCCUUCUCAUUGUCAAUGCAGCAACAUCAAAGCAAUAAUCGAAAGGAAGCUUUGGCAACCAAAGCAUUACAAGCAGUGGUCAAUAAAAUUGAUCAAUUUGAUGGGAAGAAUAUUUCAAGGUAUUUAAGAUGUUAUGUUCGUGAAAUGGAAUUAAAUCGAGUUUCUGAGAAGAAAAUGGUUGCACUAUUUGGACUUGCCACGAUACCAGAGAUAAGAAUCCACAUUACAUCGAUUACGGAUCGUUAUGGAAAUUCAUGGGAGGAUUUUUCACAUGCAUUGAAAGACGAAUAUUUCUUGGAAGAUGCUGAUCGCGUUACUAAGAAGCUAUUUCUGGGAUGGAUUGAACGGCCCAAUAAGAAUUUGCAAGCAACAGAGCUACUAAGAGAAUUUGAGAGGCAGUACUCUCAAUUAUCGAAGGUAGAAAAAUUGACAUUGGAGCCGAACAAAGUUGAUCUAUUUCUUCAAGCUGCUGAUGGAGAAUUGCAAGAGAAAUUAGAACCCCUUCUUGAAGACAAAGAAGAAGAUGAAGGAUUGACAACGAAGUGGAAGAACGUUGAAGAUGCGGUGGGGUUGCUUACAAAAAAAGAAAGGAGGAAGGAUAGGAGCAAUAAUCCGAAAACAGUACAAGCACCCAAAGCUCCAGUACGUACAACACCACCAACAAUGCCUACAGUUCAAACUUUGACAUCCUUGUCAAAGAAAGCAGAUAUGGGUAUGGAAGAAAUUAUAUGAGGAAUGCGAGAUCUUCAAAUCAAAUUGGCAAGACUUGAAGAGAAUACUUCUAUAAAUAAUUCGAAGAAUGUUUCAAAACAAGGAUAUGUACAAAAAUGCAUUUGGUGUGAUGAUGCUUCACACACUAGAAAAGAUUGCAAUAAAUUUAAUAAUAUGAUAUGGCAGGGAAUUAUUUGCUGGAAAGAUGGGAAGAUAGCAUUGAAAGAUAGGGAGGAUCUUCUUCAAACCAAUUUUGGCAAGGGAGGAAUGAGAGCAUUGGUUCAAGAUUACUUAAAAGGGCAUGAAACAGUAGCACGAGAAAGUGCAAGUUAUGGUGCUAGAGUAGAUGAUGAAAUUGGUGGAAGUACGGAAACUAGUGAGUUUUGAGCUUCUACCGUUUCUACAAUGCAAGAAGGGAAAUUACCUCGAGAAGCGUUAUUGAGAACUGCAGCUACAAUACGAGGUAGAACAGGUUGGGAGGAUCAUGUUAAUCUCUUUCAGUUCAUGCAUAUAUUGCUAAGAGCCAACAUGAAGCUUUGAUGGAAGAAAAGAGACGAGGAAAUUUUGAUGAUACUAGAGAAGGAAAUUUUUCUAAGAGGCAAACUCGAGGAGACAAGGCUCGGGAGGCAGCUUCACAAGAAUUGCCUGUAAAAGAUACCUCAUCAUCAUUGGGAGAAAAAACAAUGGAGACAAAAGAUAAGGGCAAAUCAAUUGCUUAUAAGCUACUUUCUGACAUUGAAGCGGCAACAAAUUUGAAAGGGGUGUUGGAAGAACGCAUAUUAAAUGCUAAGGUAGAAUUCACAUUGAAAGAAGUCUUGGGAAUUGCAAAGAAGGAGUUUCAUGAUGUUAUCAUUGACAGCAUUAAGCGAAAGAGGCAAUUAAUGAGCGAAACUGGAAUGAGUCAUGCUAUUGAUACAAGAAUAUGUAGAGAUGAAGAAGAGGUUGAUAUUGGUUACAAGCAACCAACAAAUGAAAAGAAUGGGUAUAAUCAACGAGUACGUUUCGAAGAUUCUAGUGACAAGGAAAUAGAAACUUUGAGCCAUUAUACUCGAAAGUAUUGGGCAAGGGUUACUACUGAGGUAUUGGUGAAGGUAGGAGAUAUAGAUGAACCAAUAGUUGCUUGGUCGACCAUGGUUCUGAAAUAAAUCUCAUGUCUAAAGAUCUUUAUAAGAAGCAAAAAUGGCCAAUUGAUAUGGAACAUGGAUGGGCAAUACGAGCACCUAAUAACACACGGGGCGAAUUAUAUGGAGCUUGUCCAGAUGUCAAAAUUCGGAUUGGGGAUGUUGCGACGGAGCAACAUUUCUUCGUUCAAGAUACAACGUCUUAUCUAUUGAUUUUAGGACAACCUUAUAUCAUGGCAACACGGAUGGAAACAAAAGUACUUGACGAUGGUUCUGCUUAUGCAAGGGUACGGAGCGAAGAUGGGAGGAAAACUGUACAAUUUCUAACAGUACCUCCUAACCAUGAACAGAAUUGAGAUAGGUUGAGGGAGAAACCAUUGCCAAAGAUUGUUGAAGGAUUUAAGGAUUUUGGGGAGGUACCACUGUAAAGCGAGAUUAUAGAGGUACAAAAGAGGAGGUACUCUCGCGAGAUGAAGGUGCCUUUGAUGCGAGUUUUAUUGGUAUAUUGGAGAAUGGAAAUAUUAUGUAUAAGAAAGUUGAUGAUUUUAAAAGAAAAGAAAGAAAAAGAUUAUAUAAUAUUGAAAGACAAUUAUGCAUGAUAGGUGCAUUGCAAAAUGAUGAGAAGAUUUUGGGUGUUUAUGAAGAAAAUGGACUGGAAGAUUCAUUGGAAUUGAUUACAUCUAUUGGGUUAGGAGAUAAGGAUAAGAUUGUUGAUAUUCAUCCGAGAGAGGUUUAUACCAUGCUUGAAUCUUUUCAAGCACCAGAAGUCACAGUAGAGUCGAGAUAUAAAACGGCAGAUAAGAAGAUAAAGCCUGUUGCCGGACCAUUACCAGAGGAUUCUAAAGAACAAAUGGGAGAAGCAUCAAAAGAAGCAAGUUUAAGAGAUCGAAUGAGUAUUGGACAUCAGUUUACUGAAGAGACUUUUGAAGAAUUGAAGAUUGGUUCUGAUGGUUCUUUAUUGCCGGAGGAAGUUACUUGCUUCAAAAAGAUGUUGGCUAAACAAGGUAGAUCGUUUGCCUUCGAAUCUCAUGAAAUUGGGUGUGUGGAUCCAAAUAUUAUAACACCUAUGGUUAUCUUCACUGUACCGCAUGUACCUUGGAAUCUAAGACCGAUUCCAGUACCGAGGGCACAUUUACCUAAAUUGGUGGAACUAUUAAAAGAAAAGAUAAAGAUGAAAAUAUUGGAACCUUCAUUUGCGCCGUAUUCAAGUCGAUGGUUUACGGUACCUAAGAAGAAUGGGUCACUACGGUUUAUUCAAGAUAUGCAACCAGUGAAUGCAGUAACUGUCAGGAAUGCAGGAAUUGGACCUAUUGUGGAUGAAUUUGCUGAGGCGUUUGCUGGAGGGCGAUCUAUUCAAUGGGUGAUUUGUAUUCAGGUUAUGAUCAAUUUCAACUUGCCGAAGGAAGUAGAGAUAUGACAACGAUGAGGACACCACUUGGAUUGGUUAGAAUGUGCAUUCUUCCUCAAGGCACGACCAACUCAGUUGCGCAUAUGAUGAAUGGGAUAAAUAAGGUAUUGAGAGAUUUUAUUCCGGAAAUGACUAUGCCUUUUUUGGAUGAUGUUCCUAUAAAAGGGUGCAGAGAAGGAGACAAGGAUGAAACUUUAGAUACGAGGGGAUGUCGCAGAUAUGUUGUUGAUCAUAUACAGGAUUGUGAAAAGAUUUUAACUCGGCUUGGAGAAGUUCAUCUUACAUUAUCGGGUAUGAAGUCUGUAUUUGGAGUGCGAGAGGUUGUAAUUGUUGGACAUUUAUGUGGAUCUUACGGAAGAAAAUCAGAUCGGACUAAAGUUGAUGCAAUUGGAAGGAUGAAAGAGGAUUGUCAUUCUUUAAGAGAGGUUUGCAGGUUUUUGGGUGCAUGUGUAUUUUAUCGAAUCUGGAUCCCUCAUUUUGCUCACAUAGCGGAUCCAUUAUAUGAACUGUUACGCAAGGGUUACCGAUUUAAAUGGAAAGAAAGGCAUAUUCAGGUAAUGCAAAGCUUGAAGAAAUUAUUGAUGUCACCUCCAAUAUUGAGGAAGGUUGAUUAUAAGUGCAAUAGACCAGUGAUGCUUACUGUAGAUGCUAGUCCAAUUGUCGUUGGAUGGGCUGUGGGUCAAGAUGAUUCAUAUGGAAGUAGAUUUGCAGUUCGAUUUGGGGCUAAAGUUUUAAGUAUUCGUCAGCGUGCAUAUUCGCAAGUCAAAAGAGAACUUUGGGAAGUCGUUUCGGCUAUGAAAGCUGAAAAGGACUAUUUGAUUGGGGCAGUAGUAGUAAUUGAAACCGAUUGCUUGCCAUUGCUUGGAAUGAUUACUAACUGUUCAAUGCCAGAUAUUGCAAUGUUGAGAUGGAUUGCUUAUAUUAAGUCACUAAAUCCAGAAUUUAAGCAUAUCACUAGGAAGGACAAUUUAGUAGUAGACAUGCUAUCUCGAGCAAGAUAUGAGAGGGAGGACGAAAUGAUUGAAGACAUUGAUGAUGUCGGAUUGAAAUCCUAUUCAAUAUCAAAUCUCAAUAGAGAAGACAAGCUAUUUCUUGAAGAAUCAUAUGAAGGAGAAUUAUUGGAUAUUGGUCAUUAUUGAAUACUUUGACUAAGUAGGGGAAUUGGCCUACAGAAAAAUUCAAACAAAUAAGAAAAAAAGCAUAUGGAUUUUUACUUCGAGAUGGAUUCUUAUGGAAGAGACCGAAGAAAGGAAUUGGGAUGCCACAACGAGUGAUAGGCAAAAGGGAAGAAAAACUAAAAUUAUUAAAGGAGUUUCAUGAUAGUUUAUGGGCAAGGCAUAGAGGAAUCUGGGCUACUUUUGCUAAACUCAAGGAACGAUAUUGGUGGAAAAAUAUGUAUCGAGAUGUGCUCUCAUUUGUAGAGUCAUGUGAAAUCUGUCAAUCAUAUUCUAAUAUCCGACACCGAGAUGGUCUUCAUCCUACAUAUCCUCUGGCUAUUCAUUUUAAAUGGGUUGUUGAUUUAGUUAUUAUGCUGGUUGGGUUAUGGCAGAUGAGAUAUUUGAUUUUAGCUCGAGAAGAUUUAUCAAAUCAAGUAGAAGGAAGAGCAUUGAGGACAAAAUCUACAAAGGAGAUUUGUAGGUUUUUGCUUGAAGAUGUCAUUUGCCGUUACGGGUGCGUAGGAAAAAUCACUGCAGAUCGUGGAGAAUUAAAUGCACAAGAAGCUCGUAAGUUCUUUGAAAGAUGUGGAAUUAAACUAUCACCAAUUACUGCUUAUAAUCCGGAAGGGAAUGCAAAAAGCGAACGCGGUCACCCGUCGAUUGUGAAAGCAUUGGUUAAAGCUUGUAAUAGGAAAGUUAAAGAGUGGCCACGGCUAUUGUCAUUUGCAUUAUGGGCUGAUCGAACAACACAUAGUUUGGUGACAGGAUAUUUGCCAGUAGAACUUAUGACAGGUCAAAAAUCAAUUAUGCCGAUUGAAGAAAAGGUACUUACUUGGAGUAUGCUACCAUGGGAAGAUGGAUUGACAAGAGAAGAACUUCUGGCUAUUAGGAUUCGACAAUUGGAGCAAAGAACAGAAGAUGUCCAGAUAGCAUUGGGAAGGUUAAAAGGAGCAAGGUUACAAAACAAGGCGCGAUUCGAUAAGCAACAUCGAUUGAGACCAAAAGCAAUCGAGGAAGGUGAUUGGAUACUUAUUUAUGACAAUAGUCUGGAUAAUCAACAUAGUACUUUGCGGAAAUUUUCAAAACGUUGGUUUGACCAUAUGUGGUAACAACUGUUCAUGGUAAUGCGACUUACUCAUUACGGGAGUUAGAUGGUACAAAAUUGAAAAUACCAAUUGCAGGGAAGCGAGUAAAAAUAUUUAAACGAAGACACACAGAGAUGAAUAUGGAAGACCUUAAUGAAGGUAUAGAGAUUCCGCAGCAAAAAGAUGAAAGUGAUUUGGAUAAUGAAGGUGACGAAGACGAACUGGACAAAGACGUAGAGGAUAUAUUCUGAAUCAAACAGCAAUUGGGUAAAUUGGUGCAUACCGGAGGAUGCACAGGUUUAGAGGGGAUGGAUGUCGUGUUGUAACACGAGUAUUUAGUGAAAAUAAAAAGAAAGGGGAAUUUUAUUAAUAUUCAGUUACCUCGAAUAUUGGGAGCAUCGACCAACUCCAGUGCAAAUACUGAGUGGUCAGGUUCAGUCACCCCAUUACAGUCAGCCGGGGCAUAUUCAAAUGCUCCAUUCGAUUCCAAUAAUGGGAGUCAGCAGGAAGAGAAGGACCAAUUCACAUGACGGGUUCGAAGAGCCAAUUGGAUCCAAUUUUGAGAAUCCAAUCCGGGUCCUCUUAUCCAAUAUGAGACCUGAUUGGCCGGUCAACCCAAUUACGAGAAAUCGAGGUCUUACUACGGGUCUUAGCCAAUCCGACGCGAGGACCAAUUUGACCCAAUUACGGGAACAUCCAGGUUACUACUGGACUCUUAUCCAAUAUGAGACCUCAAUUGGUUGGGCGACUCAAUGUGGUCCUGAUUACGGGAUUCGAUUCUGUUUCAGGCUGUCUUGUUCUCUGUGCCGUUUCAGGGAACGUUGUUUUCGGUAAAUGGAUUUCUUAAAGGUAAAAACGGAGGAGAAAGCUCUGACGGCGAGAGCCAAUUUUGGAUCCAAGCUUGAUGGUGGGAGCCAAUUCCGGAUCUAAGACGGAAGAUUGAAGAAAUUCAGAGGAUAAGGUUAGGGGGGAUAUAGUUUUUGAGAAAAAAAAGUUUUUGAAGGAGGGAUUAGAGAGAGAGGAGCUUCAUGCUUCGGGUCGGGGAAGGAAAGACAGAGAAUUUGGAUUUUUCUUCUUCGUAGAGUUUUGGGAAGGCUAAGGCAAUCGCUGCUGAAGUCAGUAUUGUAAUGGUGAAUCGGGAUUUUUAAUGAAGUGAGUUUGAAUAUUCUUGACUGUUUUGUAAAAUCGAGUUACGUCUGUGAUUGAAGGAUUAAAAGGGUGUCUAUAGGAUUGAGUAUGCGAAGUGAAUGAAAUUUAUUGGGUUAAUCUAACAAGACAGUCAGUGGAUACAAGAUCGUAAGUACAAAGCGGUAUUGAAGAUUAACAGUUUGGAUUGUUCAGGGUUCUCU